rnacentral:rRNA from 1 species
AGCCUAACACAUGCAAGUCGAACGGACAAUUAUUUAUAGCCUCUGGCUAUAGGAAAUUGUUAGUGGCAGACGGGUGAGUAAUGCGUAGGAAUCUACCUAGUAGUACGGAAUAGCCAUUAGAAAUGGUGGGUAAUACUGUAUAAUCCCCGAGGGGGAAAGAUUUAUCGCUAUUAGAUGAGCCUACGUUAGAUUAGCUAGUUGGUGAGGUAAUGGCUUACCAAGGCUAUGAUCUAUAGCUGGUCUGAGAGGACGAUCAGCCACACUGGAACUGAGAUACGGUCCAGACUCCUACGGGAGGCAGCAGUGGGGAAUAUUGGACAAUGGGCGAAAGCCUGAUCCAGCUAUGCCGCGUGAGUGAAGAAGGCCUUCGGGUUGUAAAACUCUUUCAAUAGGGAAGAUAAUGACGGUACCUAUAGAAGAAGUCCCGGCAAACU